UAGGGAAUCUUCGGCAAUGGACGAAAGUCUGACCGAGCAACGCCGCGUGAGUGAAGAAGGUUUUCGGAUCGUAAAACUCUGUUGUUAGAGAAGAACAAGGACGUUAGUAACUGAACGUCCCCUGACGGUAUCUAACCAGAAAGCCACGUCUAACUACGUGCCAGCAGCCGCGGUAAUACGUAGGCGGCAAUCGUUGUCCGGAUUUAUUGGUCGUAAAGCGAGCGCAGGCGGUUCCGUAAGUCUGAUGUGAAAGCCCCCGGCACAACCGGGGAGGGUCAUUGGAAACUGGGGGACAUGAGAGCAGAAGAGGAGAGUGGAAUUCCAUGUGUAGCGGUGAAAUGCGUAGAUAAAUGGAGGAAGACCAGUGGCGAAGGCGGCUCUCUGGUCUGUAACUGACGCUGAGGCUCGAAAGCGUGGGGAGCAAACAGG
rnacentral:rRNA from 1 species